CAAACACAAUAUUGUCCGCCAGAGAACUACAAGCGAAAAACUAGAAACUCCAAGGACUUGGCGGUGCUCCAUACCACCCUAGAGGAGCCUGUCCUAUAAUCGAUACUCCACGUUAAACCUUACCACCUUUUGCCAUUCAGCCUGUAUACCGCCGUCGUCAGCCUACCUUAUGAAAGAAUAACAGUAAGCAGAACAGUUAACAACUAGCACGUCAGGUCAAGGUGUAGCACAUGAGGUGGAAGAGAUGGGCUACAUUAUCUACCACAGAACAUACAGACGGCACAAUGAAACGCGUGCCUGAAGGUGGAUUUAGUAGUAAGAUGGAUAAGCAACACUGUCUUAAACCUGCUCUGGAGCGCGCACACACCGCCCGUCACCCUCAUCAC
rnacentral:rRNA from 1 species